AAGGGGGGAUAGGAUGUAGCAGCAUAGAGGGCGCUGCUCUUGAUUGAUGCCAGUUGGUAGCCGAUAAUUGGUCCAGCAUCAUAUAAAAGCGGCAGCCUGUCACCUGCUCUGUCUUGCGCUCCCUCAUUGCGUCAUUUCCGGACCGGAUAAUUGUUUGGCCCUUCAGAGCGGCAACGGUGGGCUGUGUUUGCGGUUGCAUUUAGCGUCUUCUGUAUUGGUGAAUGCCGGUAGCCGUGCGGGUCUCGUCUCUCCCUCACUCUCCUUAAGCCUGUGUGAACUCUAUAAAGUUGCUGCAGGCCGGUGGUGGUGCUGGUGACUCGGGUGGUGGUGUCCCUUCCUUCUGUGUGCCGUGUCCUGGGAUUUUUGGGUGAUUUCACAUUGUGUGUGUGCUUGCCACGUGUGUUGAGUGUCUGAUUAUUUUCACCUCAAUAUUAUUUUGUAUUUGGUAGACUCCCCACUCCUCUCACUAGCUCCUGCCCACACCCAUAGGCCUCAGCUCCUGUCUCAUAUUACUUUCUUUUCGUAUGGUUGGAUUUUAUAGUCUUUUAGAGUAUUUUUGAAAUAAAGUGUAUUUCU